rnacentral:rRNA from 1 species
UCGGGAAUUUUGGGCAAUGGGCGAAAGCCUGACCCAGCAACGCCGCGUGAGGGGUGAAGUAUUUCGGUAUGUAAACCUCGAAAGAAUGGGAAGAAUAAAUGACGGUACCAUUUAUAAGCUCCGGCUAACUACGUGCCAGCAGCCGCGGUAAUACGUAGGGAGCAAGCGUUGUUCGGAUUUACUGGGCGUAAAGGGCGCGUAGGCGGCGCGGUAAGUCACUUGUGAAAUCUCUGAGCUUAACUCAGAACGGCCAAGUGAUACUGCUGUGCUAGAGUGCGGAAGAGGCAACCGGAAUUCUUGGUGUAGCGGUGAAAUGCGUAGAUAUCAAGAGGAACACCUGAGGCGAAGGCGGGUUGCUGGGCCGACACUGACGCUGAUGCGCGAAAGCCAGGGGAGCAAACG